CCUACGGGUGGCAGCAGUGAGGAAUAUUGGUCAAUGGGCGAAAGCCUGAACCAGCCAAGUCGCGUGAGGGAUGAAGGUUCUAUGGAUCGUAAACCUCUUUUAUACGGGAAUAAAGUGCGGGACGUGUCCCGUUUUGUAUGUACCUUAUGAAUAAGGAUCGGCUAACUCCGUGCCAGCAGCCGCGGUAAUACGGAGGAUGCGAGCGUUAUCCGGAUUUAUUGGGUUUAAAGGGUGCGUAGGCGGCUGUUUAAGUCAGCGGUGAAAGUCUGUGGCUCAACCAUAGAAUUGCCGUUGAAACUGGUUGGCUUGAGGAUGUUUGAGGCAGGCGGAAUGCGUGGUGUAGCGGUGAAAUGCUUAGAUAUCACGCAGAACCCCGAUUGCGAAGGCAGCCUACCAAGCCAUGACUGACGCUGAUGCACGAAAGCGUGGGGAUCAAACAGGAUUAGAUACCCGAGUAGUC
rnacentral:rRNA from 1 species